rnacentral:lncRNA from 1 species
GUACACAACAUAUUUAAAUUACUAAUGGGAGCAUCCUUCUGAUUACUGCUGUUGGUGAUAUUGGGUCAUCUUUUGAUAAUAUUUUUGUAUCUUCGAAUUUAUCCACUAACUUGAUUUUCGUUGGUCAAUUAGUUAAUAAUAACUUUAAUGUGAGUUUUUCUCGUGAUGGUUGUCUUGUGCAUGAUCUAGGAUUGGGAAAGGUGAUCGCGAAGGAACCUAAAGUCGGAAGAUUAUUCCCAUUAUAGUUUACUAUUCAUACUGCUAUAUUUUUAGUUUGUAUUGACAUUGGACUUAAAUAUGAAAUUUGGCAUAAACGGUUAGGUCAUCCCAAUACUUCUAUUUUAUCUCAUUUGUUGAAAUGUGGUUUUUUGGGCAAUAAAGAUAAGUCUCAAUUUUCCAGUUUGUCUUUUAAUUGUGAUGCUUGUAAAUUUGGAAAAAGUAAGAUUUUUCUAUUUCUGACUCAUGGAAGCCAGGGCUAAUAAAUGCUUUGAGGUUAUCCAUAGUGAUGUUUGGGAUGUGGCACCAGUCAUUUCACAUGCCAAUUAUAAGUAUUUGUGACGUUUAUUGAUGAUUUCAGUCGUUAUACUUGAAUAUAUUUUCUCCACUCUGAAAGUAAGGUUAGUACAGUUAUUUAGAUUUUUGUAGCUUACAUUGAGACACAAUUUUCUUCUGGUAUUCGAGUUCUAAGGUUUGACAAUGAUGGUGAAUAUAUGUCACAUCAAUUCCCUACUUUCUUACAGCAUAAAGGUAUUCUAUCUUAAUGCUCUUGUCCAUAUACUCCUUAGCAGAACGAAGUGGUGGAAAGAAUCGUCACUUGUUGGAUGUUGUUAGAUUUCUGCUCUUGGAAUCCUUGAUUCAGCCUAAAUUUUAGGUGUAAGCCCUCUCCACAGUUGUCUAUCUAAUUAAUAGACUUCAUGCUCAGCAAUUAAAUUUUGACUCACCUUAUUUUCGCUUGCUCGACACACAUCCUGGUUAGGACACAUUACAUACUUUUGGUUGCAUUUGCUUCGUCCAUUUGCUUCCCCAUGAACGCCAUAAGCUUGUUACUCAAUCUGUACAGUGUGCCUUCAUGGGUUACAACAUUGCUCAUAAGGGUUUUGUUUGUUAUAAUAGUGUUGUUAAUCGCUUUCGUAUCUCUUGCAAUGUGAUUUUCUUUGAGAAUCAGCAUUACUUUUAACAAUACGUGUCUUCUUUUGAUUUGGCUCUGCUUAUUAGCUUCGAGGAUAGUUCUCAUCCUUUUCGAGUGUUUUAAACUGGGAAUGGUAUAUCAGCGACGAUGGCCUCUAGCUUCACUCCCCGUUCCAAUUACGGAUCCCGUUCCAGAUCCUAUUCCAGACUAUAUCAUUCUUUGACGAUCCACCUGCAUUACUCACCCUCUUGAUUGGUAUGGUUUCUCUGCAAUCUUAUCUCAUUUUACAGUUUAUUCUUCUUAUUCUCAGGUUGUUACCCAACCUUGUUGGGAGAAAGCUAUGCAAGAGAAACUCUAAGCUCUUUAGGAGAAUCGUACAUGGGAUAUUAUUUCUUGCCCUCCUGGCAUCAAACCUAUUGGGUGUAAAUGUGUUUAUUCUGUCAAGUUGUGCUCUGAUGGGUCGCUAGAACGAUAUAAAGCUCGAGUGAUGGCUCUUGGGAAUCGUCAAGAAUAUGGCAUAGAUUAUGAGGAGACCUUUGCUCCUGUUGCCAAAAUGACAAUGGUUUGAACUAGGGGUGUAGGCGAUUCGAUUUUUAUCGAUUUUUUUAUAGAUUUUCAAACCAAACCAUUUAAAUCGUUUGAGAAAAACCCAAACCUAUACCAAGCCAUUUUAAACGGUUUGAAAAAAACUCAAACCUAAACCUAACAGUUCGGUCCAAUUUUAAAUUGUCAGUUUCACCGUAUAUUUUUUUUUGCCUGUAUACUUUUACGCUCAUUGAAUUCAAUAUAUAUUUGUAUCUUACUAGCAAUAAAUCUAAAACAAACUAAAUAUAUCUACAAUAAAUUUAAAUACCAACUAAAUCAAAGUGAAAUCACAAUAAACUAAAACAUAAUUUUUUGUUCGCCA